GAUGAACGCUGGCGGCGUGCCUAAUACAUGCAAGUCGAGCGAACAGACGAGGAGCUUGCUCCUCUGAUGUUAGCGGCGGACGGGUGAGUAACACGUGGAUAACCUACCUAUAAGACUGGGAUAACUUCGGGAAACCGGAGCUAAUACCGGAUAACAUGUUGAACCGCAUGGUUCAACAGUGAAAGACGGUCUUGCUGUCACUUAUAGAUGGAUCCGCGCCGCAUUAGCUAGUUGGUAAGGUAACGGCUUACCAAGGCAACGAUGCGUAGCCGACCUGAGAGGGUGAUCGGCCACACUGGAACUGAGACACGGUCCAGACUCCUACGGGAGGCAGCAGUAGGGAAUCUUCCGCGAGGGGCGAAAGCCUGACGGAGCAACGCCGCGUGAGUGAAGAAGGUCUUCGGAUCGUAAAACUCUGUUAUUAGGGAAGAACAAAUGUGUAAGUAACUAUGCACGUCUUGACGGUACCUAAUCAGAAAGCCACGGCUAACUACGUG
rnacentral:rRNA from 1 species